UACGGAGGAUGCGAGCGUUAUCCGGAUUUAUUGGGUUUAAAGGGUGCGUAGGCGGCCUGCCAAGUCAGCGGUAAAAUUGCGGGGCUCAACCCCGUACAGCCGUUGAAACUGCCGGGCUCGAGUGGGCGAGAAGUAUGCGGAAUGCAUGGUGUAGCGGUGAAAUGCAUAGAUAUCACGCAGAACCCCGAUUGCGAAGGCAGCAUACCGGCGCCCUACUGACGCUGAGGCACGAAAGUGCGGGGAUCAAACAGG
rnacentral:rRNA from 1 species